CCUACGGGAGGCAGCAGUGAGGAAUAUUGGUCAAUGGACGAGAGUCUGAACCAGCCAAGUAGCGUGAAGGAUGACUGCCCUAUGGGUUGUAAACUUCUUUUAUAAAGGAAUAAAACGAGGCACGUGUGCCUUUUUGCAUGUACUUUAUGAAUAAGGAUCGGCUAACUCCGUGCCAGCAGCCGCGGUAAUACGGAGGAUCCGAGCGUUAUCCGGAUUUAUUGGGUUUAAAGGGAGCGUAGAUGGGUUGUUAAGUCAGUUGUGAAAGUUUGCGGCUAAACCGUAAAAUUGCAAUUGAUACUGGUAGUCUUGAGUACAGUUGAGGUAGGCGGAAUUCGUGGUGUAGCGGUGAAAUGCUUAGAUAUCACGAAGAACCCCGAUUGCGAAGGCAGCUUACUAAACUGUGACUGACAUUGAUGCUCGAAAGUGUGGGUAUCAAACAGGAUUAGAUACCCUGGUAGUC
rnacentral:rRNA from 1 species